rnacentral:rRNA from 1 species
UACGUAGGGAGCAAGCGUUGUCCGGAAUCAUUGGGCGUAAAGCGCGCGUAGGCGGCCCCGUAAGUCCGCUGUGAAAGUCAAAGGCUCAACCUUUGAAAGCCGGUGGAUACUGUGGGGCUAGAGUCCGGAAGAGGCGAGUGGAAUUCCUGGUGUAGCGGUGAAAUGCGUAGAUAUCUGGAGGAACACCGGUGGCGAAGGCGGCAUCCUGGACCGGUAUUGACGCUGAGGCGCGAAAGCUAGGGGAGCAAACGGG